CCCGGCCCCACCCCUGUUGGGGAUCGAACCCGAGACCUGGGCAUGUGCCCUGACGGGGACUUGAACCCUGACCUCCUGGUUCAUAGAUCAAUGUUCAACCACUGAGCACACCAGCCGGGCUGCCAGAUGCCAUUUUUUAUGGGACUUCUAAAAAUUCAGAAUGGAAAUUUGAUUCAAAUGCGUGUUGACUACAUUAUAAACAGAGAACUGUGAUACUUAAAUUCUUACAGGAUUCAGGAGUUGUGUUUGGUGCAGCUAGGUAAAGCUCUCUUCGUGGAAUGAUUGCAGCGUUGGUCACAGACAUGUGGAGAUUUGUGUAAAAUCUGUUGGUAGCGCCAGCAAGUUUAACUUUGCUGUUGGCGCCUUUGAAGGGAUGGUGUUGUGGAGGACCGUGACAGGUGGAGUCUUUGCAACCCUCGUAAUGCACCUUUCAGAUUUUAACCCCCAAAGCAUGGGGAGAGUAGUUUUCACACCAGUAGCUUCUGCUUAUUAUUCACGCUGCUCAUUUGACUGUUGGUUAGAAGCACCCGUACCUACGCAGCAAUACUUGUGCAGGGACUGCCUGUCUCAACAUUAGGAAAGUUCAAUGCACCUGGUAUGUAUCGAGUGAUACGUUAUUCUGAGGCACUUGGAUGGUUCUUCCCAAUGCUGUGCUGUUUCUUAUUUACCAUAAGAGGUUUUUUUGUGUUGUUUUUUUGUUUUACCGAAUAUCUGGGUAGUUAAAUCCCUAAACCCUUGCUUUUAAGUGUGAACAGCUAUAUUUGGAUUUGUCAGCUGUAUUGAUCAGGGGUGGCAGCUACCGUCUGCAGACAAGAUCCUGCUCACUGCCCAUUUUAUAACCAAUGUUUUAUUGGAACCCAGCCGUUCUCCGUUGUUUUAUUCUUGUCUGUGGCUGCUUUCAUGCUACAAUGGCAGAGCUGAGUGGUUGCAACAGAUCAUCUGACCCCGAGGCCUAAAUUAAUUACUUUUGUGGCCCUUUACAGAAAAAUCUUUGCUGACUCCUAGACACCUAUGCAGAACUGCCUUUAAUUUAAUUGGAUGGAAGCAGUUGUAUUCAGCUGUAAGAUUUCAUUUUAUUUGCUCAAAAUUAUUGAAAUAUGCUCACUUUUUCUGGACAUAUCAUCAUCAAAAUAUUUAAAUCCCUUUUAUGUGCAAGAUCCGUGGCCCAUGGAAACUGGCAGGGGGUAGACUAGAAAAAGGUGCAGGAAGCGGAUCUGGGCUGCCUGACUUUGAACCUUACUCUGCUUGGGCCUGGUGACCGUAGGACCUUUUGUCAUCUGUGUGUCUUGAUUUCCUUGCCUGUAAAGUGGGAAUGACAAUAAAAUCUCCCGCAUGAGCUGUUGCAAGGUUAAAUGAAAUGAUGAAUGCAUGCCAUGGACUGCCCCCACUGGUUCCAUCUGGGUGUGCUUUUCAAACCACCCCAUCUUCUGUACUGUCAUUUCAAGUUCAACCCUUUCAGGUCAGAGAUCUUUCUGAAAACAAGUACACAAGCUCUUCCUUGAACAAUCGUGAAUUUUUUAUAACACCUGGUUACUUAAUUUAAAAAACAUGUGUAACUAUGAAGAUUAACAAUGGACCUUAACUGGAUAUAAAUUCAGACAUA